AACCCAUGGUGAGGGCACCAUCUCAGUAAGUCCUUCUAUCUCUCCCAUGCAUCGUAAAGUGUUUCUAAAUCCAUCUACACAAAAGAAGAGAUAUCAUUAUGCAAUU
rnacentral:snoRNA from 1 species